UUUGUCGCGUUGUUCGUGAAAUCUCACGGCUUAACUGUGAGCGUGCGGGCGAUACGGGCAGACUUGAGUACUGCAGGGGAGACUGGAAUUCCUGGUGUAGCGGUGGAAUGCGCAGAUAUCAGGAGGAACACCGGUGGCGAAGGCGGGUCUCUGGGCAGUAACUGACGCUGAGGAGCGAAAGCGUGGGGAGCGAACAGGAUUAGAUACCCUGGUAGUCCACGCCGUAAACGGUGGGUACUAGGUGUGGGUUUCCUUCCUUGGGAUCCGUGCCGUAGCUAACGCAUUAAGUACCCCGCCUGGGGAGUACGGCCGCAAGGCUAAAACUCAAAGAAAUUGACGGGGGCCCGCACAAGCGGCGGAGCAUGUGGAUUAAUUCGAUGCAACGCGAAGAACCUUACCUGGGUUUGACAUGCACAGGACGCCGGCAGAGAUGUCGGUUCCCUUGUGGCCUGUGUGCAGGUGGUGCAUGGCUGUCGUCAGCUCGUGUCGUGAGAUGUUGGGUUAAGUCCCGCAACGAGCGCAACCCUUGUCUCAUGUUGCCAGCGGGUAAUGCCGGGGACUCGUGAGAGACUGCCGGGGUCAACUCGGAGGAAGGUGGGGAUGACGUCAAGUCAUCAUGCCCCUUAUGUCCAGGGCUUCACACAUGCUACAAUGGCCGGUACAAAGGGCUGCGAUGCCGCGAGGUUAAGCGAAUCCUUUUAAAGCCGGUCUCAGUUCGGAUCGGGGUCUGCAACUCGACCCCGUGAAGUCGG
rnacentral:rRNA from 1 species